rnacentral:rRNA from 1 species
GAUGAACGCUGGCGGCGUGCCUAAUACAUGCAAGUCGAGCGAACAGACGAGGAGCUUGCUCCGCGGACGUUAGCGGCGGACGGGUGAGUAACACGUGGAUAACCUACCUAUAAGACUGGGAUAACUUCGGGAAACCGGAGCUAAUACCGGAUAAUAUAUUGAACCGCAUGGUUCAAUAGUGAAAGACGUUUUUGCUGUUACUUAUAGAUGGAUCCGCGCCGCAUUAGCUAGUUGGUAAGGUAACGGCUUACCAAGGCAACGAUGCGUAGCCGACCUGAGAGGCUGAUCGCCCACCCUGGAACUGAGCCACGGUCCAGACUCCUACGGGAGGCAGCAGUAGGGAAUCUUCCGCAAUGGGCGAAAGCCUGACGGAGCAACGCCGCGUGAGUGAUGAAGGUCUUCGGAUCGUAAAACUCUGUUAUUAGGGAAGAACAAAUGUGUAAGUAACUAUGCACGUCUUGACGGUACCUAAUCAGAAAGCCACGGCUAACUACGUG